rnacentral:rRNA from 1 species
AACGAACGCUGGCAGCAGGCUUAACACAUGCAAGUCGAACGGUUGUAGCAAUACAGCAGUGGCAGACGGGUGAGUAACACGUGGGAACCUUCCUAGGGGUACGGAACAACUCAGGGAAACUUGAGCUAAUACCGUAUACGUCCGUGAGGAGAAAGAUUUAUCGCCCUUAGACGGGCCCGCGUCGGAUUAGCUAGUUGGUGGGGUAACGGCCUACCAAGGCGACGAUCCGUAGCUGAUCUUAGAGGAUGAUCAGCCACACUGGGACUGAGACACGGCCCAGACUCCUACGGGAGGCAGCAGUGGGGAAUCUUGGACAAUGGGCACAAGCCUGAUCCAGCCAUGCCGCGUGAGUGAAGAAGGUCUUCGGAUUGUAAAGCUCUUUUGCCGGGGACGAUAAUGACGGUACCUGGAGAAUAAGCCCCGACAAACUUCGUGCCAGCCGCCGCAGUAA